rnacentral:rRNA from 1 species
AGAGUUUGAUCAUGGCUCAGGAUGAACGCUGGCGGCAUGCCUAAUACAUGCAAGUCGAACGGAAUCUUAUAUGUUCCUCGUUUUGGAUUAAGUUCCAAGUUGAGGAACAAUAAGAUUUAGUGGCGGACGGGUGAGUAACACGUUGGUACCUACCCUCUAGUGGGGAAUAACUUCGAGAAAUCGAGGCUAAUACCGCAUAAUAUCUACGGAUUAAAGCUUUAUGCGCUAGAGGAGGGGCCUGCGUCUGAUUAGCUUGUUGGUGAGGUAAAAGCUCACCAAGGCGACGAUCAGUAGCUGGAUCGAGAGGUUGACCAGCCACACUGGGACUGAGAUACGGCCCAGACUCCUACGGGAGGCAGCAGUAAGGAAUCUUCCACAAUGGGCGAAAGCCUGAUGGAGCAAUGCCGCGUGCAGGAUGACGGCCUUCGGGUUGUAAACUGCUUUUAUAUGGGAAGAUUAUGACGGUACCAUAUGAAUAAGGACCGGCUAACUACGUG